AAGAGAAAAAAAAUCCCACCGUUUUCAAGGAGCUGCUCCAAUAUUUUAAAUAAUAUGCACAGAAAACACAUUUCUGAUAAAAAUUAUUGUUAAUUCAUUCAGCCAAACAGAAAAAAAUUUGGGCUGAUUUCAGUCAUCCUUAUGCUUUGUCCUUUUCUAGCUUCUGGCUUUUGCCAAGGUCUGGCUGUCAGGAACAAUUUUGGGGUUGUGGUGGUAGGGGAUGAAUCUUUUUCCAGCCCCUUUUUCAUCUAAUUCUUCCUCAUUUUGUCUCUGCUUUGAGAUGUUCUUCCAUUUUCUGUUUCCUUGGAAUCUCCCAUUAUUUCCAAGCUCUCUCUCUCAUUUUAGGGGCAGCCUUGUAUAGGAAAAUGGGAAUAACAACCUGUCCCCAAAGGGAAACCACUGUGUCUGAUCUGGAUGUUUGCCAGGACUUUCCUUCACCUCCUGCACUCCGGGAAAAUUAGGGAAACUUUGUCCAGUGACAUUUCUGAAAGCUGCUCCACCCCAGCGACCACUCCCACACCACUGGAAAUGUGGAAAAUAUGCUUUGGAUGCAUCAAAUCUGAAGUGUUCAGACCACUGGAUCUGAUUUUCCACCUUCCAAAAGAGGAGCAGCUCCUGAAUUUUGUGCAGGUACCACGAGUGGUUCCAUGGGGAUGGGAUAACCUGGAAGGCCCAUGUCUUAUCCCAGUGGGAAUGCUCCCAUCAAGGUCUCUUGGCAUUCCCUGUCUGUCUCUCUCAGCCAGUUCCUGACUGCAGAGCCCUUCCCUUUCCAUCAGACAUCCCAUCCUUAUUCCCAGCCCUGCCAAUCACCCAUGGCUGCCCCUGGAGGUCUGAGCCAAGAGGUUGGAUGGGAAUUCCUGGUGGAAUCUGUGUCAGGCAUCAGCCAGAACUGGAUCUGGCAAUGCCUGACAGGCUGCAGCUCCUCUGUCCCAGUUUUUUGUCACUUUGCAAAGAAGGAAGAGUUGGGGAGGGACUCCAGGGUUGUUCCUGGCUGGCUCACAAGGAAAUUUUUUUUUUCUGUGCCUUUCUUUUAUGGAAAGAUAGAAGAAGGAAAGCAGGGAGUCCUUUAGUGCCUCCUUCUCUCAUCCCUCUGAGCUCCUACAGCCUUUACACCUCAACCCCAGCAGCCAUGUCCUUGCCUGGCACUCUCCAGAUCCAUGGAAUGCUGCCAUGGCCAUUUCCUUACUCCUGCCUGUCACAGGGAAGUGUUGGAAUCCCCACCAUUCCUAGACCCACACAGACCUGGCACCUGGGGGCAAGGGUGGCCUUGGCAGUGCUGGGGGAAGGGUUAGACUGCAGGAGCUCAAAGGAUUUUUCCAACCUUGAUUCCAUGACUCCAUGACUCCAUCAUUCCAUGGUUCCAUGACUCCAUGAUUCCGAGAUUCCAUGAUUCCAAGACUCCAUUAUUCCAUUAUUCCAUGACACCAUGAUUCCAUGAUUCCAUGGUUCCAGGAUUCCAAGAUUCCAUGACUCCAUGACUCCAUCAUUCCAUGAUUCCAUUAUUCCAUGACUCCAUGAUUCCAUGGUUCCAGGAUUCCAAGAUUCCAUGACUCCAUGACUCCAUGAUUCCAAGAUUCUAUGAUUCCACAACUCCAUGAUUCCAUUAUUCCAUGAUUCCUUGGUUCCAUGAUUCCUUGGUUCCAUGGUUCCAUGAUUCCUUGGUUCCAUUAUUCCAUGGUUCCAUUAUUCCAUGAUUCCAUGGCUCUGUGACUGCUUUUCCACCCACACCAACACCCCUCUGCCACCACUCACAGCCCUGGGACUGCUCUGUGUCCCUGCCCUGCUGAGUCCCAAAUUUAACCAACCCUGAGCAGUCCUUAGGCUCCAUCCAUGAGCGAUGGCUCCUGUAGCUUCCCUGCCUCAAGAACAACAUGUGCCUUGUCUUCCCUUCGCUUUGCUUAUCAGAUUCCAGCCAAAAUGAAUGGGCAGAGCUCUUACAAACAGAGAAAUUAAAUGAAAACAACACCAGUGCCAAGUUCUCUGCAAACACAGGAGUGAAAUGAAAAAUGCCACUCGCUGGA